rnacentral:rRNA from 1 species
GACGUAGGGCGCAAGCGUUGUCCGGAUUUAUUGGGCGUAAAGAGCUCGUAGGCGGCUUGUUGCGUCGACCGUGAAAACCCGGAGCUCAACUCCGGGCCUGCAGUCGAUACGGGCGGACUUGAGUGUUGCAGGGGAGACUGGAAUUCCUGGUGUAGCGGUGAAAUGCGCAGAUAUCAGGAGGAACACCGGUGGCGAAGGCGGGUCUCUGGGCCGAUACUGACGCUGAGGAGCGAAAGCGUGGGGAGCGAACAGG